UACGGAGGGUGCAAGCGUUAUCCGGAAUCACUGGGUUUAAAGGGUGCGUAGGCGGUUUAAUAAGUCAGUGGUGAAAGGCCGUAGCUUAACUAUGGGACUGCCAUUGAUACUGUUAGACUUGAAUCAGGCUGAGGUUGGCGGAAUGUGGCAUGUAGCGGUGAAAUGCUUAGAUAUGCCAUGGAACAUCGAUUGCGAAGGCAGCUGACUGGACCUAGAUUGACGCUGAGGCACGAAAGCAUGGGGAGCGAACAGG
rnacentral:rRNA from 1 species